GAAAUGCGAUACGUAAUGUGAAUUGCAGGAUUCAGUGAAUCAUCAAAUUCUUGAACGCAAAUGGCGCUUCACUGCCAUCUCGGCCGUGGAGCAUAUCUGUUUGAGUGUCUGUAAACCCCUAUCAACCAAAACCGCUUGCGGUGGCGGUUGGAUUCGUGGCGUUUGCGCGCAGCCGGAAACGGUGGCGCCCAUCCGCUUAAGUUUAGCAGGCGCGGAGGCCGCAUCACAUGGCCCGGCGUGGUUUCUACCCGACGAAGUGGCACCCUUCUCAGGAGUGACAUUGCGUCUCGGGUGGUCCGCGCUGGUGUCGCGGACUCUGCCGUCUGACGGACAGGACCGGCGGCGUGCUUUCGAGCCCCGCCACCUCAACCCACGGACCUCAAAUCAGGUAAGACUACCC
rnacentral:misc_RNA from 1 species